AGCAAGCACACAUUUCUACAUUUGGCCUAAUCAGCUGUUCUGGAGUAAUGACGACAUAUGUGUCAUCCACGAACUUACAUGAAUUCAAAAUGGCAGUUCAUACUGAUGGAUGGUGUUUGUUAACUUGAAGACAAUAUAACAAUUGAAUUUGAUUCUUUGUUAUUAUUCACACAGCAGGUUUCACCAUAUAAGCAGCAUUAACAACGGGCAGAAUAGAGACCUGGCAUAACCUGAAGCCUUUUUCUCGAUUAGUUCAAAAUUUGACGGCAACUGGACUGAUUGGUCAACUUGGUCAGCGUGUGCAAUCACGUGUGGUAAUAACACGCAAACAAGAACAAGAACAUGUACUAAUCCUCCACCUUC